AUGGGGGUCUUUAAAUUUCCUAAAUGGGCCAUUAAGUUGAUUAAUUCUCAGCUGACUCACUGUUUUUGGGAUGAUUAUGAGGGCCAUCACAAAUUUCACCUUGCUGCUUGGGGGAGUGUGACCCUGGCAAAGCAGCAUGGGGGGCUUGGCAUUCCUAACAUUGCAGAUAUGAACCUUUGCCUUUUAGCUUCCUGGAUUAAGAGAUACUUUUUAGAUGAGGGCAAGAUUUGGAAACAAGUCAUUGAUGCCAAAUACAACACUCAUAAUCCUAACAUUUUUGCUUGUUCUGCUAAUGGUGCUUCCCCCUUCUGGAAAGGGAUUUUGUGGGCUGCUAAAGCUGCUAACAUAGGUUAUUCCUGGAUUAUCGGGAAUGGCAAGAGUGUCAGGUUUUGGGAAGACCAGUGGAUUGGCCAUACCACCCUGGCUACUAAAUAUUGGGGUUUAUAUAGCAUUGCCAAUGAACAGAAUAUCACUGUAAGUGAUGUCUGGGACGGCACUAAUCUGAAAAUCUCUUUUAGGAGAUGUUUUACUCGUGAUAUGUUAGCUGAGUGGAAUGAUUUAUUCAGCUACAUUCAAAAUAUUGUGCUGAUAGAUAAAGACGACACUGUUUGUUGGAAUUAUGAUUCAAAGGGUGUUUACACAGUUAAAUCCUUCUACAAAAUCAUCAAUUUUAGAGGCGUUCACCCUGGGGACCUCUUUUCCAUCUGGAAUAUCAAAGUCCCCCUGCGCAAUCAUAUUUUUCUUUGGCUCAUGUCUAAGAAUAAACUCUUGACUAGGGAUAACUUGCAGAAAAGACAAACGGUAGAAGAUGCUACCUGUCUUUUCUGUAGUGAUCCUGAAACUAUUGAGCAUUUGUUUUUUGGAUGUGUUGUUUCGAUGGAAAUGUGGAGAGUGAUUGGGGACAUUUCUAACAACCAUUCUGGGAUGUCUAUGACUGACAUGCUCGAAUGGUGGUCCUUUAACAAAAAUCACCCGACAGAUUGUUUACUGCAUUCUGCUGCCCUAUGGGUUAUAUGGAAAUAUCGUAACGACAUGUGCUUCAAUCAUAUCCCCUGGGUUGGGAUGCAGGUGCUGUGGAGGAGGGUUGCUGCUACUUUGGACAGCUGGGCGGUCCGAUGCUCAGGCCCUGUCAAGGAAAAAGUGCUAUACUUGGUGCGGAAGCUGGAGCAAUUAGCAAGAUCCCCGCCCCUCCUGCUGUGGCCGGACCCUGGCUAG
rnacentral:rRNA from 1 species